AACGAACGCUGGCGGCAUGCCUAACACAUGCAAGUCGAACGAGACCUCCGGGUCUAGUGGCGCACGGGUGCGUAACGCGUGGGAACCUGCACUUAGGUUCGGAAUAACUCUCCGACAGGGGUGCUAAUACCGGAAAAUGUCUUCGGACCAAAGAUUUAUCGCCUUUGGAUGGGCACGCGUUGGAUUAGCUAGUUGGUAGGGUAAAAGCCUACCAAGGCGACGAUCCAUAGCUGGUCUGAGAGGAUGAUCAGCCACACUGGGACUGAGACACGGCCCAGACUCCUACGGGAGGCAGCAGUGGGUAAUAUUGGACAAUGGGCGAAAGCCUGAUCCAGCAAUGCCGCGUGAGUGAUGAAGGCCUUAGGGUUGUAAAGCUCUUUUACCCGGGAUGAUAAUGACAGUACCGGGAGAAUAAGCUCCGGCUAACUCCGUG
rnacentral:rRNA from 1 species